rnacentral:lncRNA from 1 species
UUUUAAUAUUUAUUUUUUAGUAUUCGGCGGACACAACAUCUUUGUUUGUAUGUGGUGCUGAGGAUCGAACCCGGGGAGCACGCAUGCUAGGCAAGGCGCUACCGCUUGAGCCACAUCUCCAGCCCCAAUUAAAUUUUGUUCAGGAGAAAAAAGUGACUUUUCUAAUUUUUUUUGGAAUUGUCUAUAUAUCUUCCUUUUAAAAUCUUAUUUAUUUUUAUUCCAAUUUGUUAUAUACAACAGUAGAAUAAUGCUUUAUAAUUCAUAUUACACAUAUAGAGCACAAUUUUUCAUAUCUCUGGUUGUAUACAAAGUAUAUUCACACCAUUUGUGUCUUCAUACAUGUUCUUAGGGUAAUGAUGUCCACUUUUUUCCACUAUCAUUUCUAUCCCAUCCCCCUCGCUUCCCCUCCCACACCUUUGCCCUAUCUAGAGUUCAUCUAAUCCUCCCAUGUGCCCCCUCCCAACCCCACUAAGAAUCAGCCUCCUUAUAUCAGAGAAAAUAUUUGGCAUUUGGUUUUUUGGGAUUGGCUAACUUAGCAUUAUAUUCUCCAAUUCCACCCAUUUACCUGCAAAGGCCAUGAUUUCAUUCUCUUUUAUUGCUGAGUAAUACUCCAUUGUGUAUAUAUACCAGUUUUUUUAUCCAUUCAUCUACUGAAGGGCAUCUAGGUUGGUUCUACAGUUUAGCUAUUGUGAAUUUUGCUGCUGUUAACAUUGAUAUGGCUGUGUCCCUGUAGUAUGCUGUUUUUAAGUCCUUUGGGUAUACACCAAGGAGUGGGACAGCUGGGUCAAAUGGUGGUUUCAUUCCCAGUUUUCCAAGAGAUCUCCAUACUGCUUUCCAGAAUGGCUGCACCAACUUGCAGUCCCACCAACUUGCAGUCCACCAGCAAUGUAUGAAUGUGCCUUUUUCCCCACAUCCUCGCCAACACUUUACCUGUCUGAUUUUUAAUACUUUAAAUUUACUUAAGAUCCCUCUGUAGCCCAAAAUAUGAUCAUUUUUUGUAGUAAUUGUUAUGCAUUUAAAAAAAUACAUUCGGGGCUAGGGAUGUGGCUCAAGCGGUAGAGCGCUCGCCUGGCAU